rnacentral:lncRNA from 1 species
GUCGCAUGCAUUUCAAUACUUAAUUAUAAUUUCGGCAAUUUCUAUUUAAAUAUUCAUGAGGAAAAGUGAUUUCAGGUCAGUGACUGUAUAUGACAUAGAAAUAUACGGUCAACGCAUUUUGACUGCUCAAAUAGAACGAGUGCAGUGUAAAAGACAAUAUCGCUAUUUCAAAUCAGAAACGUGUUUAUCGAUUCGCUUCUUCAAUAUACUAAAGGGGUCGUUUCAAAACAUAUAUAAUUGUGUUGUCAUUAUACUUGUUUAGAAGCUUUCACAUCAAAGCACUUACAAUCAUUCACAGUAUUAACUAGAGGCUCUAAAGAGCCCGUGUCGCUCACCUUGGUCUAUGUGCAUAUUGAAAUAAGGACGCCGAUGGAUCCACGACAAAAUUGUGAUUUGGUGAUGAUGAUGUGUUCGUAGAUAUUGGCCCACCCCUGUGACGCCAUAUUACUUUAGGGAGCUACCCUUUGAUUUUUAUGGGGGGCUAGGAUGAAAAAUUUUGUCCUGCAUUUUUUUUUAGUUGUAAUCUCUGUCCUGCCUUUUUAUUUUUGACUCUAUUCGGUCCUGCUUUUUUUUUUUUAGUUUAUCCUGACUUUUUUUUACAUAAAUUGUCAUCCUGACUUUUUUUUUUUUGCAAGUGUCUCAUCCUGCCUUUUUUUUUUACUCAAAACUCCUGUCCUGCCUAUUUUUUUCAAAUUUCAUCCUAGCCCCCCCAUAAAAAUCAAAUGGUAGCUCCCUUACUGAACACUCUUGCUGUUAAUAAUAUAUCUAUCUAUAAUGCACUUUGCCCAGUAGUUACAGAGAAAAACAUUUUGUAAAAAUUUACCAAAAUUUACCAAAUUUAUGAAAAUUGUUAAAAAUUG